ensembl:lncRNA
GAGCGGAUUGCGGUCGGCGGGUGAGUGCCGGCAGGUGAAGCGGAGUUCACGGCAGAACACGGAGAGACAGAAACACCUGAGCGGGACACAAACCGAGACGAGAGGUCGGAGACAGAAAGUGAUUAGAAAGCCAAGGUUGUCAGGAUGUUCCCUCCUUCUGCUGCCGUUUCUGACACCCAGAGAGGAACUGCAAUGAGAGAAGGAAUCUGAUGCAUCAAGAGGAAUUAUGAGUGUCUCCAAGGAACUGAGCAUUUCACUUCUUCAAAAUGCAUGUUUUGGUUCUGAGAAAGCAGCAGCACACCUUAAGGUUGCCGUCAGAUGCCACAAGUCAGCUGAUAAAAGAGUCCGGCCCGGCAGCAUUCCUUCC